UUUCCAGACUCCUACGGGAGGCAGCAGUGAGGAAUAUUGGUCAAUGGCCGCAGGGCUGAACCAGCCAAGUCGCGUGAGGGAUGACGGUCCUAUGGAUUGUAAACCUCUUUUGUCAGGGAGCAAAGGGCGCCACGUGUGGCGUUUUGCGAGUACCUGAGGAAAAAGCAUCGGCUAACUCCGUGCCAGCAGCCGCGGUAAUACGGAGGAUCCGAGCGUUAUCCGGAUUUAUUGGGUUUAAAGGGAGCGUAGGUGGAUUGUUAAGUCAGUUGUGAAAGUUUGCGGCUCAACCGUAAAAUUGCAGUUGAAACUGGCAGUCUUGAGUACAGUAGAGGUGGGCGGAAUUCGUGGUGUAGCGGUGAAAUGCUUAGAUAUCACGAAGAACUCCGAUUGCGAAGGCAGCUCACUGGACUGCAACUGACACUGAGGCUCGAAAGUGUGGGUAUCAAACAGGAUUAGAUCCCCCUGUA
rnacentral:rRNA from 1 species